CUGACAGCGUCUGAGCCACCAUGGGAACCCGAGGUGACGUGUAUCCAUUGGGGCUCUGCAUCGCCCUGUGCCUGUGGGGCACCGUGGCCCAGACUCCUGGCGUACAAGGUACCACUGGGGACUGCAACAGCCAUAUGCUGUGCCCAGCAAACGCCAAGUGUGUGAACAGCACCCACUGCACCUGCCUGGAUGGAUACCAGUCAGAUGGGAAUCGCUUCUUCACCGACACAACAGAGAC